AUGCUGAACAGCCGUGCACAAAGAGUGAUAACGAAGAAACAGGACGUCAAUCCACUACCAGCCCGGGUGAGUGACGCUAACUCAAACAUAUCACAGAGACAAUCAGUAAGGCUACCGAAGUUGAUUAUUGAGAAAUUCUAUGGAGAUGUCAGUAUGUGGCAGGAGUUUUGGAGCCAGUAUGAGACUGCUAUUCACAACAAUGAUUCACUGUGUAAAAAAGAGAAGUUUAUCUAUCUGAAAACAUAUAUCACUGGACCAGCUGCAAAGGCAGUAGCAGGACUGAUGUUAACAGACAGUAACUAUGAUAAUGCAAUCGCUCUACUCAAGAGCAGAUUUGGAAGGAAAGAUCUUGUGAUUAGUGCUCAUAUGUCAAAGCUGCUGAAUGUCACACCUGUGAAGAAAUCCUCCGAUCUAAAUGCAUUGAGGCAGCUAUAUGAUGAAUGUGAAAUUCAGAUUAGGAGCUUGGAAUCACUGGGUGUAGUGUCAGAAACCUAUGGAAGCCUACUAUUCCCAAUCUUACUGCAGAUGAUUCCAGAGGACAUAGCUCUUGACUAUAGUCGUCAGAGGGGAGUAGAUGAUGAAUGGAAAGUGUCUGAGAUUAUCAGUUUCCUACAGAAAGAGGUUCAGAGCAGGGAGAGAGCGCUACAAAUGACAAGAUCAUACAACCAACAGAAAGAGAGCAAACCAUGGAACAAGUCAUGCUUCUCCAAUGAAAUUAAACCAAAAAGACCCAACAUGCCCUCUGCUGCAGCACUGCAUACAGCCAGCCAGAAGGAACAACAAACGUGUCUAUUUUGUGACAGUGCAGACCACAAAUCAGAAAACUGCCCUGACUACAAUAUUGCUACACGCAAAGAGAAACUAAAGAACAUGGGAAGAUGCUUUGUAUGUUUAGGACAGAGACACAUAGCAAAAUUCUGUAGAGUCAAAGAUGUGUCAUGUGCAACAUGUGGAAGCAGACAUCACAUUGCGGUGUGUACCAGUAAGAGGAGUGAGGUGCAACCCCCUACUGUUUCUGUAGAUGCUGUUGUUUCCUCAGUUAUUCCCCAUUCAGUGAAGAUGAAACCAGAUGGACAGAACACUGUGUUGCUACAAACGGCAAAGGCAUGGGUAGAAGGCCCAUCGGGCAGGAAGAUAGCUCGUUGCUUACUAGAUGGAGGCAGUCAGAGAAGCUUCAUACAUGAAAACCUUGUGAAGGGCUUGAAGCUACCAGUAAUCAGACAAGAGGCACUCACUCUUCACACGUUUGGCUCCUCUGCCCCAGCAACAUCCCAACGCAACACAGUGAAAGUCAUCUUGGAGAAUGUCUGGGACAAACAGCAGAGAAUAGAGAUGGAGGCGAUUGAAACCCCACAAGUGUGCACAGCUGUGAUGAAGGUUCCUGGUGAAUGGAUUCAGCAUGAGCUCAGUAAAAGGGGACUGCAGCUCGCAGACUUUCCAGGAGAUGACAAUGAUACUGAACUCUCUGUCCUGAUAGGAGCAGACUACUACUGGCAGAUAGUAUCAGGCAGAGUGGAGCGACUGACGGAGACGCUAGUUGCUUUAGAGAGACGACUUUUAGAGAGACGACUUUGGAUGGUCGGUGCAGGGACCCGUGUCCAUGUCAAGUGUCGCCGAGGCAACCUGCAUGUUCAUCCCACUUGA
rnacentral:lncRNA from 13 species